UUAUGCAACGACGAUGAGUUUUCAGCACGGCACAAUAAAGUCUAAAGUUCAUUGGUACAUUACAAUCAUUCGUAUAAACUGAACGACGUUCGAUGACCCUCUUAUGUCAAAGUGAGUCGUCACAUCAACAGCUAUCCAAUGAAUAUCGCUGAUGUAAGAAGCUAAAUUCGUAGACCUGACCUGUGACAACGAUAUGUGACUAACGGAGGACACCCGGUAGAUAUAUUUUGUUAAGCAGAACAUCCAUUAUCCUAUUUUUUACUGUGCCUGGGGCGCAAUCAAUGAUCGGCGGUACUAUACUUUGUGGAC